rnacentral:misc_RNA from 1 species
GUUUUCUGGCUUUCUAUCUAAUCUUUGUUCGAAGAGGAGGAUGUUAAUUCAACUGCGUCAACUCUAGGAGUAGAUGAACGGCCCGAAGAAAUUGUUGUAGUGGGGAAUGCUUUCUAUGGAGGGACAGCAGGAGUAUUAUUGGAUGGGAGUAUAUUUUCCUGUGGGUUACUUUGGAACAGGCAAGAAAUGUUACUUUGAAACAUCAAUUUGGAAGCUCCACAGUUAAAAUUUGCAUAUUUGUCUUUUCUCUCCCCAUUUCCAUCGUCAGCCGCUGUACCUCACUUUCACGCUGGCUGGAGCAGAAAUUGAUCCACCUCCGCCGCAUAUCUUCCUCUGUUUCGGUGUCAAAAUUCUCUCUGUACACCACUGCACUGCCACCACAACCAACUUAGUGUAUGGAGUGAGAUGAAACUCUUGGCUUUAACCUCAGACUUCAAUUUUUGAGCCGAUUUCGAAAGAUAUCGUGAUUUCAAUCGGCCUUUGACGGUAAAGCCACCAGCCACGAUUACUCUUGAUAAAGGAGGUGGUGGAGAGGUAGAGGGAUUCGCUAUUCAGUACGAAACGCCAAUUGAUGGUUUCCCAAAAGCAAAAGUUUGUUCCGUUCUAGUUCGGUAACAUGACAUCAGACCAAAAGCGUGGUAGGGAGAGAACCAUCUGCGGCUGCCGGUGGAGGUAGUGGCAAUGGUAAGGAGAGUAUUUCAGAACGAGGUAGAAAAAGAAGCGUGUAGUAGAAGACUCAUCGUUGUUUUCACCGGCAUCCACAUCUAACAAGAGAGGUGGUGGCCAUGAGAUGCAGUGAGGAUUGCGACCGUUUUUAGAGAGAAAUCUGCAGAGUAAUUAGACAAGUCAGAAAAUAAACGUGUAUGGAAAGUGUAACUUCUGCAACUUUCUCUUAGCUGGCAUUACGCUAUUGGUCCAGCUAAUAAGUGCGGACAUAAAUGGGAACAAUAGGGCAGGCUGGAAACACCUUUAAAAAAGGUAUGGGGGCCCACUGAUAUAUAAAAUCGGCCCUUUCCCGAAACAGGCAAUCCAAUGCAUAAUUCCAUUCCGAAGAGAUCCAAAUCUCUAUCGGCUUUCUAUUUUCCGUUUCUGAGCGGCACAGGUUACGUAAAGACACCAUAAUAAUAACCUUCUUUUUUUAUAAAAGAUUUUUUUUUACGUAAAAAUAUUUUUUUUAACAAAAUUGUGAAAUUGGUUUGAUUCGAAGUCGCAAUGAAGGAUGAUGAUUCUCUCCCAACAUCCACUGCGGCGGCGACGAUGACGGCAAUGGCGACCAAUGCCAAAAAGGAAAGCUCCGAUUCUAAUCUAUUUGGGAAAGGCCGAUAUAAGUUCUGGGCUUUAGCUGCCAUUUUGCUUUUGGCAUUUUGGUCAAUGUUCACCGGAACUGUCACUCUCCGUUGGUCCGCCGGCAAUCUCAAUAGUCUAUCCGAUGACCUUGACGCUCCCAUCCAUGACGAUCUCGACGUACUCGAAAUGGAAGAAAGGGAGAAGGUGGUGAAGCAUAUGUGGGAUGUAUACACCAAUAGCCGUCGGAUCAGAUUGCCACGAUUUUGGCAGGAGGCCUUUGAGGCUGCUUAUGAGGAGUUGACUAGCGAUGUCCCUGGGAUUAGAGACGCUGCAAUCUCUGAGAUUGCCAAGAUGUCUGUCCGCUCCGUUGUUCUUGAUCCGCCUCCUUUUCAAUCAACGAAGGUGUAGGUUUGUCUUCCUCAACCAUUUUAGUGGUGGAGCAUAUCUGAAUUCGAAUGUAAAUUGAUGCUUUGGCUCCAAAAAAUUUGACAGACUCGUCAACCUGUCCAAGAGCUGAUUGCUUUGCUUGUCCCAACCAGAAGUUUUUACCUACUCAGCUGAGGCAUUGCAUCCUUUGUUAAGUAUUUGUACCAUAUUAUAUUCUCAUCCAGCCCUAUAUGUUUUGUGAUCUCUAAUUCUCUAACUAUUUAUCCUUUUGGAGGUCUUGAAAAGUGUGUUUAAAUUAUACAAUCAUGGUUUUUUGGUGUGGAUUGUUUUGUAUGUAUGAUUUCAUUGCUAGUAUCAUACAGAAGAUUUUUUGUCAGAAUGAACUCUGUUUCCUCAGAUGAAGCAAUUAGUUCACUCGUAAGAUUUUGAUAAUGAAGCUAGAUGUAAGGUUAAAGAACAUUAAUAGUGAGGAAAUCUCCUUGGGCCUCACAAAACUUAAGUUGACUACACUGUAGAUCUAACUAUUUGGGUUUGGUUGCAUGGAUGCUUUUCUUUCAUUCUGUCUGUCUAGAUCGUAUUCUUCAAAUAUUUAGAAACUAAAUCCCUUCAUGAAUUGUAAGUUGCUAUUAUACUUCUAUUUUUUAUGUACUAUGUAAUGGAGUUUUGUCCUGUGUUAUCAACUUUAUGCUUACCCUUCUUUUUUAAAGCCCCAGCUGGCAUCUCUCUUUCUGUUAAUGUUUAGGGUUUAGAACCUUUAUUUCAAGUUCCUCAACAUAUCCUAAACUCUCGCUAGCCUUCAACUUUUCACGACCAUCUCUGCUUGGGACUAAUUAUUGACAUUUAGGCACAGUGCCGGCAGAGUUUUGUGUGGGAUAGCAAAAGGCUUUCGUACUUGUAUUUUUGCAUAAUGAACAAGUAAUUUUUGCUGCUGCUGCAUUUCUUUUACCCAAUUAAUUGAAGAUAGAGAGAGAUUAAAUAUACCUUGACCCUGUAUUUUUCUUAUCUAUACUCUCAGAGUGCACAAGAAUUAAGUAAGAGUCUGAAGUUAGGAGGGAAAGGUGGGGCUACUGCAAUUUCAAAGAGGAGUGAUAGAUGAUGUGAAGAGAAUCAAGAAGUAUGGGCUUCAUUGCGCAUACGCUGUUUCAUAACUGGGACAAUUAUAUACUUAAUUAGGUUCUUAUUCUUCCAAGGCUUUGCUGUCACAAUCUUGUCUUAUGGGUGGAUCUGAAAAAAAACCUUUUUUCGGUAGAUGAAUUCAGUGAGAAAUUUUGAUCUUUCUUACAUAAAUUGAAGUGAAAGAAUUACUUUGAAAUCUUGGGCGUUUGAUUGCUUAAAUUCAACGUUUUCAUUGUAGCUUUUCAAAAAAGUGAUCUUAACUUUAUCAUGUUUUGGUUAUAAUUUUAAUUUUCUUUGAACCGUGUAAUUCUUAUGUUCAGUUAGAUUAUGAGAAAGUAAAAUAAGGUG